rnacentral:misc_RNA from 1 species
CCGAGUACCGGGGCUUCGGUCCCUACUCCAACCCAAUGUUUAAUUUUCUUGUUGCUUUGGCGGACCGGUGGCCUCGGCCACCGCCGGCCUCGCGCUGGAGAGCGUCCGCCAGUGGCCAUUUUAAAAACUCUUCUUCACCUCGAGUCUGAGUUAAAACAAAAAGAAUCA